ensembl:lncRNA
UUUUAUUAGAUAAAAAGUUUUUCCUUGUCACAAUUAUGACUUUCUAUGAACAAUGCAAUAAUCGAUGCAGCUUGCAUUUCAACACAAAAUGAAUGUGUAAAAAAAAAAAAAAAAAAUAUAUUAAUUUAAAAAAAUAUUUUUUUUAAUUAAAAAAUCGAUUAUGAACUUUUCUGAAUCGAGACAGAAUCGUUCUAAAGAGAAUCGAGAGAAAUCGAAAAAUAGAUUUUUUUCCCCACCCCUACUACUUAUAGUACCAUACUGCAGAGUAAGUAUGGUACAUGCCACGGCCAUACAUACUGUAAAGGUGCAUACUUAUGCAUUGCUGUGCUCCCAUUUAUUUCCAGCCAGUCAACAGUUUCAGACGGUUAUAGUGGGCUAGUGGGUGAAACCAGACUGGACUGAACUUGAAGAAGUGUUGAGGGGGUGGCUGUGAUCUUUAGUAUAGGACAAACAGUUGCACACAAAAGUAAUUUCAGUAGUUCAAAGCAAUGUUGCAACAACUGCCUGUCAAUAGUGUAUGUCCUUUUUUAGCUCUGUGUUGAAAACAGAAGUGAGAGAAAAAACCCACAACGAGCAAGUGGUGUUGCAUGCCACACUUCUUCUUCUUCUGUUUUUCAGGAUGCUGUCUGCAGUUUUUUUUUCUUAAACCACAAAAAAACCCAAAACAAAACAAACAAACUAGAAGCUCCUCUGGCCGCUAGACGUACACAUCCGGUGGUGCCCAUUCAGAACUCUUUCAUUUCCUCUAUUCUAGUUUCAGACUAAACCACCAGCCACGUUUUGAGAGGUUUCUCUUUCAUUGACAUUUCCCAUUCAUGAGUUUGUGCUCGUCUGUGAAUGCAGAAGUCUGUGCUUCACUUAUCCUUUCGGUUCACAGAUGCGGCCCCCUUUAGGGUUGUGCUGUUGUCACAUGCGUUGUUCAACACAACCAGAAAGCUGACAUUGUGACCAGUAAGUUUCCAGUCGUCCUGGACGAUGGGUAAAAGACCUAGCUGUUUUUUUACACUCAUAUUUAGUAGAUGUCCUGUAAUACUACUAAAGGAGUUACAUAAGAGCACGACAACGGCUUGCGUUUCAUCCGUCAACCAGCUCUGUUACUACAGGAGUCAUGACCUUGGCAAAGGCUUUGCAGUAGGCCAGAGCUUCUCUGGUUUUUCUUUGCGCGUAGAAGUAACAGUAUGUUCUGUUGAUGUUGCAUGGGCAUAUCUCUCUCUCUCUCUCUCUCUCUCUCUCUCUCUCUCUCUCUCUCUCUCAGUGUUUUGAAGUACCCUAGAGUGAAGCCUCUCACCGUAGCAUGGGGAUUUGGUGUAAUUUCAUGAGUGGUUUUACGAACACAGCUCAUGUUCCAGCAACGAGAGGCUUUUGUCCGUUCAGCUUCUCAAGGCCUGGGGAGAUGCAGUGCAAAGGGACGCGAUAGCCUCGCCACCCAAAGGAAGCACUUGUGGUCUUACUGGCGUCACUUCAGAUCACUUCCUAGUAAGACCCUUAAAGGAGUGUUAAAUAUGCAAUGCGUUUUACAAUGUACAGCAAGAACUUCCUCUCAUGGGUCAACGGUAGGACGCAGUAACGUGUUUGAACUAGACUGCUAAAGCAGGCUGGCCAGAAAGCAGCUGAGGCAUGGUCUGUACCAUGGCCACAUCAUGGCCAGAGUCUAUGCAGUGUUGGCUACUGUCUGAGAAUAUAGCUAAGGGGACACAUCCCUGGUCAUGGUCGAGAGAAGCUUCUGUUGUUGUGUUUGUUCUGAGAACGCUAGGCUCUCAGGGGAGCACCAAGGAAAAGCAAAUAGCUGUGCUGUCUGUGGGUAAAAUUGGCUGCUUUUGUUUCGGGUUUCCACUGACAUUAAGGAGGCCUGCGAGCUCUGUGAAACUAGCCCGAGGCGUCUCUUCUGUUGCAGUCUCUCCGGGACGGAGAUGACCGCCAGAAAACUCGGAUGAAUUUUGGUAUCGGGUUUUUGUGAGAAUUGAUGCUAACAGGGUUGGCUCCCCUAGAACCUGCGCACUGCUUGACAAAAGCACCCGUCACUGUUGGAAUCUGCUUCGCUGGUUCCAGCUCUAGUUUGUUUACUACAUAUGAAACACUCCACACCAAUAAUCACUACAGCUCUAUUGGUGUGUUUCAUAUGUACUAAAACAAACCAAUCACAACAGCUCUAUUGAUAGAUAGAUGGAUACUUUAUUUAUCCCGAGGGAAAUUUAGUUUCAUAAGUACCAAACAAUCUUCAGAAACAGAAUAAAAAUGUCUUUUGAAACAUCAUGAAAGUGUCCUAUCUACAUUGUCACAACAUAACAACAGGCAUGAUGUGUGAGAGACGCCUUCUCUAAUUCAGCUCCGAUUUCAGCUGUGGUUGUGACUCAUAUAAAACACGCAUUUGUUUCUUGUUAGCACGCUCCCAAACAAUAAUGUGGUCCGGUUCUGGCAUUGAUACAUGCUUAUACAUGUGUACCAGAACAGUACUAGAAUCUGCUGCUUCUCUGGACUACGCGAAGCUGUGUUCUUCAGGAACCACACACCGCAACCUCAUAAUUACUUUCAGUAUCAGUCAAGUUAGUGCUUCUCUCUGGCGACGCACGAUUACAUGGUUGCAUGGCUCAGCUGAGGAACCGUAGAUGGUGGCAUUAUUUUUUCAGUGCGUCUUGUCACUUUCCAUCAGCAGAGUGUCUCGUGUUGGAAAGAGGCCGCUUCCCCCGUGCGCUGCUCUGCGAUCGGCCCGGUGUUGGAGUGAGAACCGUGCGCACUGGUACACAUCGUCGUGUGUUGCCUUGUGUGAGAUC